rfam:Candidatus Amoebophilus sp. 36-38 SCNpilot_cont_1000_p_scaffold_1253, whole genome shotgun sequence.
GCGCAUGUGGUGGAAUUGGUAGACACGCCAUCUUGAGGGGGUGGUGCCGCUAGGUGUGGGGGUUCGAAUCCCCCCUUGCGCA